rnacentral:rRNA from 1 species
UACCAGACUCCUACGGGAGGCAGCAGUGGGGAAUAUUGCACAAUGGGGGAAACCCUGAUGCAGCGACGCCGCGUGAGUGAAGAAGUAUUUCGGUAUGUAAAGCUCUAUCAGCAGGGAAGAAGAUGACGGUACCUGAUUAAGAAGCCCCGGCUAACUACGUGCCAGCAGCCGCGGUAAUACGUAGGGGGCAAGCGUUAUCCGGAUUUACUGGGUGUAAAGGGAGCGUAGACGGUGAUGCAAGUCAGAAGUGAAAGCCCGGGGCUCAACUCCGGGACUGCUUUUGAAACUGUGUGACUGGAGUGCAGGAGAGGUAAGCGGAAUUCCUGGUGUAGCGGUGAAAUGCGUAGAUAUCAGGAGAAACACCAGUGGCGAAGGCGGCUUACUGAACUGUAACUGACGUUGAGGCUCGAAAGCGUGGGGAGCAAACAGGAUUAGAUACCCCGGUAGU